AUUCUUAUAGUAUAAAUAAUUACAAUUAGUUUCCAGCUAAUUAAUCCUUUUAAGGUUAGAAUA
rnacentral:tRNA from 1 species